GGGUUGUGAGGUUAAGCGACUAAGCGUACACGGUGGAUGCCCUGGCAGUCAGAGGCGAUGAAGGACGUGCUAAUCUGCGAUAAGCGCCGGUAAGGUGAUAUGAACCGUUAUAACCGGCGAUUUCCGAAUGGGGAAACCCAGUGUGAUUCGUCACACUAUCAUUAACUGAAUCCAUAGGUUAAUGAGGCGAACCGGGGGAACUGAAACAUCUAAGUACCCCGAGGAAAAGAAAUCAACCGAGAUUCCCCCAGUAGCGGCGAGCGAACGGGGAGGAGCCCAGAGCCUGAAUCAGCAUGUGUGUUAGUGGAAGCGUCUGGAAAGGCGCGCGAUACAGGGUGACAGCCCCGUACACAAAAGCGCAUGUGCUGUGAGCUCGAUGAGUAGGGCGGGACACGUGGUAUCCUGUCUGAAUAUGGGGGGACCAUCCUCCAAGGCUAAAUACUCCUGACUGACCGAUAGUGAACCAGUACCGUGAGGGAAAGGCGAAAAGAACCCCGGCGAGGGGAGUGAAAAAGAACCUGAAACCGUGUACGUACAAGCAGUGGGAGCCCCACCACUAAG
rnacentral:rRNA from 1 species